rnacentral:rRNA from 1 species
CCUACGGGAGGCAGCAGUGAGGAAUAUUGGUCAAUGGGCGGAAGCCUGAACCAGCCAAGUAGCGUGCAGGAUGACGGCCCUACGGGUUGUAAACUGCUUUUAUACGGGAAUAACGCCCCUUACGUGUAGGGCCUUGCAUGUACCGUAUGAAUAAGGACCGGCUAAAUCCGUGCCAGCAGCCGCGGUAAUACGGAAGGUCCGGGCGUUAUCCGGAUUUAUUGGGUUUAAAGGGUGCGUAGGCCGCAUGACAAGCUGGCUGUGAAAUGUCCGGGCUCAACCCGGGACUUGCAGCGCGAACUGGCGUACUAGAGUGCACGGGAAGCAGGCGGAAU